UUUAUACCACAAAUGUCAAAAGUCUUGAUGUCCUAUUUUGAAAGAGAAGUUAUUUAAGAAUAACCAUGUUUGAAACCUGGAAAUGGUUUGGGAUUAAGGUCUUUCAACAGAAGAUUCCUAUGAAGUUUAUGGGGAAACUAAUGCCUAGAAAGGUAAGGUCCUUUUUCUUAGUUAAAUGGAGAGACAAGGCUCAGUGUUCUUAAGGAGAGCCUUGGCUGAUUCCGUGAUCACCUUCAUUGAGGCAUCUUUAAUACCCAUAUUCUGGUAUUAAAGGCAGCGACCAAUCUAGUUUGUUGAACUGGGGCAGUGGUUGGCCCAGCGUAAGAACCCGUACCUAGUGCUGCUCCAGACACUUCACCUGCAUCCCUCCUUGUAGCUCCUACAAUGCUCCUAUUUGGUAGCUGCUGCUGUUAUUUCCAUUUUAUGGAUACAGAGACAUGGUCCCGGUGCAGCUGCACUAUUGGCUCAAGCUCACCUGGCUCGUAAAGAGACAGCCAGAGAUCCAUUUUCAGAAGCUGAGUGUAUACCAGCAUUAUCAAUUUAGGAAGAAAUGGUUAUUCUAAAAAAACAGUAUCUUUAUUUUGACAUAAGAAAAUGUCCACUUGUGAGAGAGCAGACACUCGACCUGAAUUCUUCUUAACAACGUUUGAACUGGGAAGACAUUGGUACUACAACUUCCUGGGGACUUUAUUAUGGCAGAGAAUAUUGGAAUACCAUUAGAGAUGUGAAUUUUUAUUAUUGAGUAAAUCUAAACUAAAAGUGCUUAUUGGAUAUAACUGGACAUAUUAAGUAUCUGAGCAAAAGAACAAAAUUUUCACGUGUUUCAACUUUUUUUUUUAACUUCUAUAUUUUAGUAACCACCACUAGUAGAUAAUAGCAACACUGAGGAAUUUUGUACUUAAUAUUAAAAUCAGAAGAGAUAACGUGUGAAACUUUUUCUUCAUUGACACUUUUGUCUACAUGAUUAGUAUUACUUCUGAUAACCACCACAGUUGUGAUUCCAGUGGUUCCAAUUUCAAUUUAUAAAUAAGAACCAUGAAUAUUUGGCUAACCUAUCAAAUCAUAUGUGUGAGAGGCAAAAACCAGUGUAUUACUUGGAACCAGAGAUUCUGGGUUGAAAAUCCAAUGCCAUUUUUACUGCACUUCAUUUUUCUAAUGGCUUAUUUCAGAGACAAAAUAGGAAAGAAAUUGUAUAAUAUGGAUGAUGUAGAAGGAUAAACUAUUCUAAUUUCUAUUAGUCCCAUUAGAUCAACUGAUCUCGGAUGUGGGAUUUUCCGUUGCUAGACUUAGAAAUCCCCAGAAAACGACAUGGGUGAAUCAUCUUUUAUAAACCUGAAUGUUUAGAUGAUUUAAAACAAAACAACUGUUGGCAUUAAUAGCCAAGUUUAUUUUUUUAAUAUAUGAAAAGUUUAGCACGUUAUUAGGUCAGUUGUGACUGUGAAUAAAUUAAUAAAUAAAUGAGGUUAUUUAUGACUCCCAUUAAAAACAGGAGGAAAUAAAGACAGCAGAGUGUGAAUGCUCUAUUUCAACUCAUUAAAAACACAUAAUCAUAAAGCCUAGGACCAUGAAGAAGGCUUGAGUGGAGGGAAGUUAGUGACCAGUGAGAUCUGAAAUAUUGUUCAGACUCAGGUCAGAUAUUUCCCCCUGAGGGUUUAAUGAGAGAUUGAUGAAGUUUAGAACAAAACACUGUUUUUUUCCUCAGUUAAACGGAAAAUAUAAAUGGAAUUUCUAUCAUUUUAUCAGUAUGAAGUUGCAGACUAAAGCUUGCAACUUCUUCAAAGUAUUAAUGAUCAGUAUCAUUAAUUGCAAACCUACUCUGUUCCAGACAUUGUUGUAGAUGUUUUACAUUUAAUCAUCACCACAACUAUGUGAAAGAGGUAUUUUUGUUUAAUCGGUGGGGAAACUGAGGCAUCUUUGACAUGGCAAAGCUGGAAUGCAAACUCAAAUGGUCCUAGAGUCCAUGUGUUUAAUUUCUAUGUUGCAUCCAAAGGUGUGGCAGGAAAUGGGUACUUCUAUUUCUGGACAACGCUCACUUUGAAAUAAUUUUCAACUGUAUGAGAAGCAAGGCAGUAGGAAAGGAGAAGGAGGUACUGCAGGGUGAGUGGUAGAGUGUGGGAAGAAAUAUUGACUGGUGCAUUAUUAGUGGGAUUCUCAGAUGCUUGAUUCUCCCUUUCUCCUGCGUUCUCAUCAAACAGUCUUCCCUUCAGUGGCAGUGUCCAUACUACCUUGGUACUUGCAUUGUUAACACACCCACAUAAGAUAUGAGGAAAAGGAAAUGUCAGGUCUAUACAGCAAUCCCUCUUUACCCACACAUCCACAUGUACCGAUCUCCUGAGGAUAUCUUUGUUUCAUUCUGUACCUUAUUUAUUUUUUAAUGGAAUUAUAUCACAGUAAUCUUUCAUAAUUGGAUUACAAGGGCCCACGUAUUAUAGCAAUAUUUCUGCAGAAAAGUUCAUUACAAUUUUUAAUACUCGAGAUGAAAUUAAGAGAAUGUUCUCUGCCUUUGUGAUUAGACUGAGAUCUACAGGUACAAAUUUUUUUCUAUAGAGUGAUUUUUAAUUGUCAGCUUAGUAAAUAGAAUAAGCUUAGACUGUGGAGUCAGUUACAAACUUCAAAAGAAAUAUAUUCAUUCUAGGUCUUUUUCUGUUCAGAAUAUUUUAUCUGGUCUUUUCUAUAAGAAGACAUUAUUUUGGACUUUCCCAAUGAAAAUAUUCUCUUCAUUCUUUUUUAAAUUUUAUUCUUUAAAAUUUUCAUGUGUUUUAGUUAGUUAUACAUGACAGUAGAAUGCACUUAUGCACUUUGAUAUAUCAUACAUAGAUAUAAUUUCAUUUUUCUGAGUAUACAUGUUGCAGAAUCAUAUUGGUCAUGUAGUUUUAUAUAUAUAUAUAUAUAUAUAUAUAUAUAUAUAUAUAUAUAUAUAUAUACAGUAAUAAUGUCCAUUUCAUUCUACUAUCUUUCCUAUCCCCACAUCCUUUCUUCUCCCCUCCCAUCACUUCCUGCUACCUAAUCUAAGGUAACACUAUUCUUCCCUAGUGUGGUAGAGUGUGGGAAGAAAUAUUGACUGUGAAUUAGCAUCUGCAUAUUAGAGAAAACAUUCAGCCUUUGGUUUGGUGGGAUUGGCUUAUUUUGCUUAGCAUGAUAUUUUCCGACUCCAACCAUUUACUGGCAAAAUGCCUUAAUUUCACACUUCUUUAAAGCUGAGUAACAUUCCACCGAGUAUAUAUAUACCACAUUUUCUUUAUCCAUUCAUCUAUUGAGGGAUACCUAGUUUGGUUGCAUAGUCUAGCUAUCGUGAAUUGAGCUGCUAUAAACUUUGAUGUGGCUGAGUCACUACAGUAUGCUGAUUUUAAGUUCUUUGGGUAUGAACCAAGAAGUGGGAUAACUGGGUCAAAUGGUGGUUCCAUUCCCAGUUUUCUGAGGAAUCUCCAUACUGCUUUCCAUAGUGGUUGCACCAAUUUGCAGUCCCACCAGCAAUGUAUGAGUGUGCCUUUUCCCCCACAUCCUCGCCAACAUUUAUUGUUGCCUGUAUUCUUGAUGAUUGCCAUUUUGACAGGAGUGAGAUGAAAUCUUAGAGUAGUUCUGAUUUGCAUUUCUCUAGUUGCUAAAGAUGUUGAACACUUUUUCAUAUAUUUAUUGAUAAAUUGUGUUUCUUCUGUGGAGUGUCUUUUCAGUUCCUUAGCUCAUUUAUUGAUUGGGUUAUUUGUUUUUUUGCUGUUAAGUUUUUUGAGUUCUUUAUAUAUCCUAGAGAUUAAUGCUUUAUCAGAGUUGCAUGUGAUAAAGAUUUUCUCCCAGGGUGGAGGCUCUCUCUUCACAAUAUUAGUUGUUUCCUUUGCUGAGAAGAAGCUUUUUAACUUGAAUCCAUCCCAUUUAUUGAUUCUUAUUUUACUUCUUGAGCAUUAGGAGUCUUGUUAAGGAAGUCAUAUCCUACAACGAAGUGGUGAAGAUUUGGGCCUAUUUUUUCAGAUGGGUACUAGGAACGAAGUUGCUAAAUAUUUCAAACCACUAGUUUCACGUUUUUAAAUGUUUAUGUACAUGUAGAGCAAAGAAAAGGCUUUGGAGUUACAUAGGCUUGGAUUCUUUUUUUCUGUGACAUUAGUCAAGUCUCUGCUCCCCUUUUUCUUUAUCAUUAAAAUAGACAAGGAAGACAGCUUAUGCAGUCUCUAGAAGUAUAAGAAUUAAAUUUGUAGAACUAAAAAUCCUAAUAUAUAGUUGAAAAACAGUAGGUAUAUGUUUAAUACAAGAACUGCCUGUUUCCUAAAAGUUCUAUAUUUCUUGUGGACAAAAAUAGAGCAAAAAUUGAUUAUUAACAGGGACAAGUUUGUCAAAAAAUUUCCCUGCUUCUGAAUUUAUAUCUAUCUACUUAUACAGACCACCAACUUGAACGCUCUCUUCCAUCCUUAAUAGAUGCUAAUGUGUUAAAAGAAAAUGUGCUUAUAUGAUUCAUUCAAAUAGAGUGAUUCCAAUGUUCCUUGUGUAAUUUCAAGUCUAGCCAGAAUCUCAAAAUUUCAAUUAUCUUAAGAGCUGGUGAGGAAAUAUUCCCACGUGUGUCACAUGAACCCAGAGCUGGCAGAGUUAAUGAUCCUGUGAUUAAGAAUUAAGUCUUAUAAAUUAAAAAUUUCUAACAGUUAAGAUAUAAGGUCAUAAGUUAAAAUGAGUAAGUGUUGGCAUUGACAACUCUUCUUCUUGAAGAUUUUUUAAAUGCACCUGAACAAGGAAAUAAGGGUCUAAGAGAAAUAGUGAAGGAUUAACACCUUUUUUUUUUUCUGGAGAGUUUUGAAAUGAAUAUUAUUACCCUUAAGUAUUCAGAAGGCUAAUAUGUACGACCUCAUAUAAAACCUCCAAAAGUUCAAUUGUUACUGUAAAUGAUAUAUAAUUCAGAUACCAUUCUUUUGAGGGAGGUAUUUUUGAAUUCGGAGAGCAAUUAUAAGAAACUGAAUAGUUGUUGCCCUUUAGAACUUUUCUGUGUUCCCAUUCCUUCUACUUUCAUUCUUGUCCUUUUACAUCUUCAUUAGAGGAAUUUAUUAUAAUUGGACAUUUCUAAUUAAAAUGAAGCCCUCAGAAACAAUUGCUUCAGGCACAAGAAAGAAAAUGUUAAUUUUCAGACUGAUGAACAGUAUUUUUAAAUUACAGAAUGAUUUUGUGAACUUCCCUGCCAUGACAACCAGGAGAAAUUUACUACGACUGGGGGAAACUCAAAAUAUAUUAUGUGUUUUAAAUAAUUAUGUUUGUUUGUACUCAAAAGGAUGUGUUUAUUGUGAUACUCCCAUAAAUUCAUAAUGAUGUCUAGAAGGGGCUUAAUGUUUUAUGAUGUAGAUAUUAUAACAUGCUAUAGAAUGCCAACUCUGCCCGUGGAAAGGGAAGCAAUUUAUUCAAGAAGUUCAUGAUACCCAAGGAUUGAGUGGACCAUCUGACUUAGAAUCACAUCUCUAGCCUCCAUGUCUUAACCUUUGCUCCUGUAACUUGUCUUGCUUUGCCUAGAUGAUGCUUCUCCUUCUGUUUCUUCUUUGCAUAUGCUAUUCUCUCUGCUGAAAACACUCUUUUCCAUUCACUGAAAACUCCUCUGUCCACAUCACACUAUAGUACAUAGACUAUUCACUUCCUUCUAUCUGAUAUAAUAAAAAUAAAAUGGAAUUUGGACUCAGAUUGACUUGGGUUUGAACUAAGAUGAUAACAGGAACACUAAUUUUCCACUGAGUCUAAGUUUCCCCAUUUGUGAAAGAAAACUAAAAAUAUCUAGCUCUCAUAUCUCUAGGGCACAUUUCCUGACACCUGUAAGCAUUCAAAUGUGUUUUAUCCCUUUUGUUUAUUUCCCUUCUGGUUUCCAGGAGUCCUAGAAUUUUCUUCAUUAAGAUUUAUUUUCAGAAUUUGUAUUAAGGAAACAAAAUGAAUAAGAUGAAAAUAACCCAGCACACACAAAAGAAUUACCAUCAAGUGAAAUAGAUACUAGUGUACAAAAUGCUAUAGAAAUGAUAUAGACUGUGAUAGGGCUGGGCCAAGCAGGUUUCAUAAAGGAGUUGACAUUUAAGCAGAAUUCUGAAAGGCAUUAUAAGAAAAGGUAACAGUAUGUUCCAAAGCAUGCAAUCAUAAAACAUUGUGACAUGUUCUGAGAACUGCCAGAAAUAUAUAUAGAUGGAUAGGGCAUAGGAAAAAUUAAUAGUAGAAACACUAUUAUUUAGGAAGGCAGAAAACCUAUCACAAAGGACCUUCUGUAAAUGACAUAAAAAGAGGGUUUAUACUCAAUUCUACAGAAAAUGAAGAGUCAUUGGAGAAUUUUUAGCUGGUGAGUCAGUUGUGGUUUUAUAAUAAAUACCCUAGCAAUGAUAAGGAAGAUGGAUUGGGGUGUGUAUAAGAAAGUGUGUGUGUAAGUGUAUGUGUGUGUAAUUGAAUAUGUGCCUGCACACAUUUCACAAAUGAACUUUAUUGAGAUAAAAUUUGCAUGCAAUAAAAUAAAUCCAUUUUAAAUGUACAACUCAAUGUUCCAGUGACAUGAUAUAGACUUGUAACCCUCAUUACAAUUGUAAUACAGAACAUUUCCACCUCUCCAAUCCCUUUGAGCCUCUUUGCAGUCAAUUCCCUCCCACCUCUUCUCAACUUCUGGGGAUCCCUGAUUUGAUUUCUAUGGUUGGCAGGUUUGCCCUUUUGAUUUUUCAUGCAAAUGGAAUCAUAUAAUAUGCACAUUUUAUAUUUGGCUUUUUUCAUUUAGCAUAAUGAUUCUGAGGCUCAUCCACAAUUUUGUGUAUGUCAGUAGUUUGUUUCUUUUUAUUGCUGAACCAUUUAAGAAUGUCCAUUGUAUGAAUACACCACAAUUUGUUGGUACUAUUUAUCAGUUGAUGGACAGGUAGGCUGUUUGGGGGCUUUAUGAACAAAGCCACUGUGAAUAUGCAAAAUGGGAGUCUUUGUGUGGACAUAAGUUUUUUAUUUCUCUUGGGCAAAUACCUACAAAUGGAAUUGCUAGGUCAAAGGGUUGGUGAGGUUGACUUUAUAAGAACACAGCUAAACUUUUCUAAAAGGAUAAUAUCAUUUUUCACUCUGUCCAUAGUGUAAGGGAAUUUUCAUAGCUAUACAUCCUGACCCACGUGGUAUUUUUCAUCUUAAAUUGUAGAUGUUCUUGUGUGUAGUGGUAUUUUAGACACCCUCCAUUCAGCCUUUGAAUAUGCUUAUGUGUCAUCCUUAGAUCUUCUAUUGUGAAGUGUCUAUUCAAAUUUUUGUGGUCAUUUGAAAAAAUGUAUUGUUUGUCAUUAUUUUCCAAUUGAAAGAAAAAACAAUAUAUUUUGGAUACAAACAGUUCUUUCUCAGGCAAAUAUUUUGCAAAUAUUGGCUACUAAUGCACUUUUCCUUUCUGGAUGAUGCAUUUUGCAGCAUAUAUUUUGAAAUAAUUUGAUAAAAUUCAGUUUAUUGUUUUUUUUUUUUUUACUUUCAUUCUAUCAACAGAACAAAACAAACAAAAACCAAACAAGCAAAAUUGUCUAAUCCAAUGCCACAAGAAUCUUCUAAUAUGUCCUUUUCUAGAAAUUUCACCCUGGGAUCAGUUCUUAAAUUAAAGGCAUGACACAUUUUGAGGUAAUUUUUAUAAAGUGUGAAGUAAGUGAUAAUAUAUGGGUUUAGCCUUCUUUUUUUUUCCCCUCUCAAAAUCACUCUGGAUAGAAGUUAAUCCACUUGAUUGUUCUAUACAAUCAGCUUUUGAUGUUAUUGAUAGAUAUAGUUUUCUUUUAAACAGGAUAAACAUAUCUAUCUUCUCAAAUUAUUAGAAGCUUAGAUUAUUGACUACAGAUUCAUAUUUGGUAAAUGAACAUUGAAUGUUUUAAAAUUUCUCCCAAGUAUUGCUUUAUUAGAGUUCCUACAGAUUUUAUGUGGUAAUUUCAUAUUCAUCCUAUUAUGGUUUGGAUAUGAAGUGUCCCCCCACCCAACUCCUGUGUUAAUACAGGAAUAUUCAGAGGUCAAAUGAUUGGAUUGUGGGCACUGUAUCCUAACCAGUCCAUGCUAGUUUGCGUGGACUACCUGGGUAGUAACUGUAGGCAGAUGGGAUGUACCUAGAAGAAGUGGGUUACUGGGGAUGUGCUCUGUAAUGGUUUGUCUUCCCCAGGGCCCCUUACCUCUUUCCCUCUUUCUCUGCUUCCUGGAUACCAUGUCCUGUUUUCCUCUGCUGUGCUCUUCUGCCAUGAUAUCCUGCUGGGUAACCUUGGGCCCAGAGCAGUGAAACUGACUUACCAUGGACUAAAUCACUGAAACCAUGAUCCAAAAUAAACUUUCCCUCCUCUAAGUUGUACUAGUUAGAUAAUUCAAUUGUUAUGGGCUGAUUUGAAAGUUAAGUCAGGCUGACCCCAUUCUGCUCUGACAUCUCACCCUGUGCAAAAUUUGCCCCCCAAAUUUGCCCCACUCACAUAGAAGCUGACAUCUUCACCCUCACCCACUUGCACCCUGACCACAGUGUCUUUAAACCAUGGAACAGAUAUUAGCUUACUUCCUGAGUAUGUAUAGAAGGUGCCAAUUCUGAGAACUUAGUGACACUUUAUAAAAUGUGUCUUAUGACUGUACUUGCCUAUCCCACCCCCUUCCUUAGUACUUUUUUUCUGUUUCUAAGUGCCCCCACUCACCCUCAUUCAGUGUCUUGGGCUGCAGAACUGUCUAGUUUCUGCUCCCUUGGCUCUGGCCAGAAUAAAUCCUUUGUCUUUACUUCAAACAGACCUGGAGUUUUAUUUGGGAUUUUGGAAUAGCACCUUAACACAAUAACAGCAACACAACUCUAACACACAUCCAAUUCAAAAUAUAUUAUAAUUUAGCCUCUUAUUUCUUUUUUGACAUGCAUGUUAUCUGGAGUUAUGUUGCCUAAUUGCCAAAUAAUUAAGAAUUUUCCAGAUAUUUUUUGUCAUUGAUAUUCUAUUAAAUUUUGUUGUGUUCAAGAAAUAUAUUCUGCAGGAUUUUAACUUUUUUAUUGAGAUUCGUUUUGUGAACCAUAGUAUAUUCUAUUUUGGAGAAUGAUUUUUGUAUACUUGAAGAGUGCUCAAUCCGCAGUUGUUUGGUGGAAUGCUUUGUCAAUGUCAAGCAGGAGAGGUUAGUAGGUAAUGCUUAUGUCUCCUAUAACCUUAAUAAUUUUCUUUCUACUUGUUCCUUCAGUUACUGAGAGAUGACUGUUGCAGUUUCCAAUUUAACUGGUAGGUAUGUCUAUCUUUUUUUUUAACCUUUACCAGUUUUGUUUUCUGUUUUAAAACUCAGUUAAUGUUAGUACAUUUUUAAUUUUUUAAAUUUUUAAUUAACACAAUAAUUACAGAUAUUUAUGGGUUAAUGUGUAAUAAUUCAAUACUAAUCAAAUCAGGAUAAGAAUUCCUUAUCUUUAUUUCUUUGUGUUUAGAGCCAUCAAACUCCUGUCUUCUAGUUCUUUGUCACGGUUUUGGUAUGAGUUGCUCCCCUAAAACCUCAUGUGUUAGGCAAUGUAGGAAUGUUCAGAAGUAAAAUGAUUAGAUUAUGAGAGCUGUAACCUCAUUGGUGGAUUAAUCCAUUUGAUAGACUGAUCAAAGAGACAACUGUAGCAGAUGGGGCAUGGUUUCUGGAAUAAUCCCCUGGGACUAUAUCUUGUCCCUGGUGUGUGUGUGUGUGUGUGUGUGUGUGAGCCCAAAAUAAACUUUUUCUUUUCUAAGUUGUUCUUGUCAUAUCUACUCACAACUAUGAAAAGAUGAAGAAUAUAGUCUUCAUAAAAUUUUGCCACAUACACAUCAGAUAGACCACUUAUCUCCAGGAUAUAAAAAGAACUCAAAAAACUUAACACCAAAAAAAACAAACAAUCCAAUCAAUAAAUGGGCUAUGGAGCUGAACAGACACUUCUCAGAAGAAGAUAUACAUUCAAUCAGCAAAUAUAUAUAAAAAAAGUUUAACAUCUCUAGUAAUUAGAGAAAUGCAAAUCAAAACUACUCUAAGAUUUCAUCUUAUCCCAGUCAGAAUGGCAGUUAUCAAGAAUACAAACAAUAAUAAAUGUUGGAGAGGAUGUGGUGGAAAAGGCACACUCAUACAUUGCUGGUGGGACAGCAAAUUGGUGCAACCACUAUGGAAAGCAGUAUGGAGAUUCCUUAGAAAACUGGGAAUGGAACCACCAUUUGACCCAGAUACCACACUCUUUGGUCUGUACCCAAAGGACACUGAGAACUUAGUGACACUUUUAAAAAUCAGCAUAGUAUAGUAACACAGAUAUAUUAGUGUUCAUAGGAGCUCAAUUCAUUAUAGCUAAACUGUGGAAGCAACCUAGAUGCCCUUUGUUGGCAGCAGGUCCACCCUGGCCCCUGGAGCCCUACCUCCACUAGUUUGUUCUGCAUGCCAGUGUGGCCAGCUCACAAGGCCAUGGCGAACUUGCGGUUUUUCUGUUCCUGCUUGUCCGUCUGAGACAUAUGUAUCCCACGGGAAUGCCUUGACCUUUUCUGGUCUGAUGGACUUAUUGUUAAGGGAGGUUUCGGUACCUGACAAUAAUAGAUGUUGAAACUAAAUUUCUCCCCCCUCCCUCCUGCUUUUGGGUAGUUUUCCACUUCUGCUGCUUGGGGUAUAAAAAAAGGUGUGUUAGCAAUAAAGAUUAUUAUUGACUCCUGGAUGAAGAACCUUGGUGUCCUGUGUGUCUUUUAACCUCGCCGUCCCUCGCCGGACUCGGCUCCCUUGGCCGGACGCGGCANNNNNNNNNNNNNNNNNNNNNNNNNNNNNNNNNNNNNNNNNNNNNNNNNNNNNNNNNNNNNNNNNNNNNNNNNNNNNNNNNNNNNNNNNNNNNNNNNNNNNNNNNNNNNNNNNNNNNNNNNNNNNNNNNNNNNNNNNNNNNNNNNNNNNNNNNNNNNNNNNNNNNNNNNNNNNNNNNNNNNNNNNNNNNNNNNNNNNNNNNNNNNNNNNNNNNNNNNNNNNNNNNNNNNNNNNNNNNNNNNNNNNNNNNNNNNNNNNNNNNNNNNNNNNNNNNNNNNNNNNNNNNNNNNNNNNNNNNNNNNNNNNNNNNNNNNNNNNNNNNNNNNNNNNNNNNNNNNNNNNNNNNNNNNNNNNNNNNNNNNNNNNNNNNNNNNNNNNNNNNNNNNNNNNNNNNNNNNNNNNNNNNNNNNNNNNNNNNNNNNNNNNNNNNNNNNNNNNNNNNNNNNNNNNNNNNNNNNNNAUUAUUUUUUGAACAUUUGAUUAUCUUUUAAAAGGAUUGAGGAAAUUGGAAAGCAUGUCUUUCAUAUGUACCUACCUACUUAUUAUUUCCAGUGUUCUUAAUUCUUUUGAGGAAACUGGUAUCAUUUCUUUGUUCUUAUGCCUGAACAACUUCCUGUAAAAUUUCUUUCUUUCUUCCUUUUUGUACCAGGCAUUGAACCCAGGGGCACUAAAUCACUGAGUCACAUCACCAGCCGUUUUAUGUUUUUUAUUUAGUGUCAGGGUCUCACUGAGUUGCUUAGGGCUUGCCAAGUUGCUGAGGCUGCCUUUGAACUCAUGAUCCUGCUGCUUCAGCUUCCUGAGCAUCUGGGAUUAUAGGCAUGAACCAACGUGCUUGGCUUGUACAAUUUCUUUUAUAGAAGAUAUGAUCCAAUGAAUUGUUUCUGUUUUAGCUUAUCUGAAAAAUAUUUCCACUUAACUUAUCAGUUAUAUUUUAAAUUUAUGAAAUAAAUUUUGAUUGAUAAGGAAUUCUAGGUUGAAAGUUUAUUCUUUCAAUGCUUUAAGAAGGUUACUGAAUUUCCUUGUCUUGGGGGUAGUUCCUGAUGAGAAGUCUAUGUUAAUUCUUCAUUCCUUUGUAUUUAACUAUAAAAUACUAAUCCAUUUAUUUGUUAGUAUUUUUUGUUGGCAUUUGUUGAGUUAUUUGUUGAUAUUUGUUGAGGUUUAUAAUUUUUGUCAAAUCUAUGACAUCUAUUGGUUAUCAUUUCUUCAAAAGCUUUAUUCUGUUCUCUUCUUCUUUUUUUAGUAUUUAAAAAAAUUUGUUCUAAUUAGUUAUACAUGACAGUAGAAUGCAUUUUGACACAUCAUACAUAAGUGGAGUGUAACUUCUCAUUCUUCUGGUUGUACGUGGUGUAGAAUCACACCAGCCCUGUAGUCAUAUAUGCAUAUAGGGUUAUAAAGUCUGAUUCAGGAGGUUAGGGAAGAAUAGAAGUUCUUUCUUCUUUUUAUGGUGCUUUAAUUAUAAAUGUUAGACUACUUGAUGUCAUCCUUGGGUCAUUAUGUCUCUAUUUGUUUUUCAAUGUUUUUACCACUGGUUCAUUUGGGAUAGCUUGUAUUUUGCUUUCAGGUUCAUUGAUAUUUUCUUUUGCAUUGUCUAAUCUGCUCUUCAUCCUACCCAAGGUAUUUUCUUUUACUUUAAAGUUAUAUCUGAGUCUGUUUUACAUCUUCACCAUAUUUAUGUUUUCUUCUACCUACUUGAUCACACAGAGAAUAUUUAUAACAGCUGCUUCAAUGCAUUUGUCUACUAAUUUAUCAUUUUGUUAUUUCUGCAUCUAUGGACUCAUUUUGUUUGUGUGUGUGUGUGUGUGUGUGUGUUGCUGGGAAUUGAACCCAGGGCCUUGUGCAUGUAAGGCAAGCACUCUACCAACUGAGCUAUAUCCCCAGCCCUAUGGACUAGUUUUCUUGUUUAUGUGUCAUUUAUUUCCCUGCUUGGUAAUUUUGAUCAGACAUCAGGCAUUUUUAAAUUUUGUAUUUUCCAGAAUUAAGUUUUGUUUUAUUAUUCCAAUGGUGCUGGACUUUGUUCAAGCACAUAUUUAUUUGGUUUUGGUUUUUUUUGCCUUCAGGGAAUGCUUUCAAGAUUUGUUAAGAAAAACCCAGAUCAACCUUUGAGGCACAUACCCCAGGGAGUUGUUUGCACACUACAAUAGGGCUUGAUCAGUGUCCCUUUUUACUUAGUGCUUUAUUCAUUUUGAUUUUUCCAAAUUUCAGUAUAAUGCAUACAUUUAUGGAAACUUCCACAAAUAUUCAUUGGCUGAAUAAACAGAGAAAUUGAUUUGCUUAAUUAAAGGAAAAGAAACUGCCUUUGAAUUAAAAACAUUUCUAAGUUUAUUUGUCAACAGGUAAAUAAAAUUACUAGUAGAUUACUGAUUGAGUUAAAACAUUUUUCUAACAAAUUUGCUGGAUUUAAUUUUGGCUAGAUUUGAAAAUAAUCAAUUCAAAGUUGUUCACAAAUAGGUGUUUUAAAGCGAAUACCUAGCUGGAUGUGAUGGAACAUGCCCGUAGUCACACCUACUGGGGCGGUUGACAUAGGAGAAUCUUUAAGUCUAAGGCCAUCCUCAGUAACAUAGUGAGACCCUGUCUCUAAAUAAAAUCAAAAGGAUUGGGAAUAUAGCUCAGUAUAAAAACACCCUUGGUUCAACCCCCAGUACCUCAAAAAAAAAAAAAAAAUUAAAAUGUGAGUAUCUAGAUACUAAAGUAGCUACAGGAGAGCAGAAAGAAUAUGAGUCUCCAAAAAAGAAAAUCUGAUUUAAAUAUAGAUUCCCAUACUUACUGGUUGAGUUGUCUUGAGCAAGUUACUAAUGACUUUAAGAGGUAAGCAAACUUUGGCCCAAGGGCCUGCCAUCUGUUUCAUGAGUAUGGUUUUAUUGGAAGACAACCACACUCAUUCUUUAAAUAUUGCCUUUAGCUGCAUUCAUGUGAAAGCAGCAGAAUUGAGCAGUGGUGACAGAGUCUGAAUGUCCCACAAGGUCUAAGAUAUUUACCUUCUUAUCUUUUAUUAAAAAAAAGUCUCCUGGCCUAGCAGUAGAGCCUCAUCUUCUUUACCUGUCUUUACGUGUAAAAAAGGGACAAUAGCUUCCAUUUCACAGGACUGUGGGAUGGGGGGGGGAUGGUGAUGGGAGGGUGGGGGGGAUGGGGGUGGCGAGGGGUUGGGGGGGGGAGGGUGGAAUGGGAGGGGAACCUUACUAUGUGCUGUGCUUAGCAUAUGGCCCUCCUGCAAAGACUUGUUAAAUUUGAAUAUGAACAUUCUAUCCUCUUCUGAAUACAAAGCUAUUUUCUUUCUAACCUUACAUUUAUGAGGUGAAACAAUUAUAUAUCAAAAAGUAGAAUUUCAUAUAAGAGCAUUGUGUUUUGCUUAGUCAUUAUGACUUUGUCAAACAAAAUAAACUUUACAUAUCUUUGUCAUAAAUAAUUUAAUAAUCAUAUUAGUCUUUGAACGCUGUGAUUAAUGCAGUGGGAAAUUCACAGACUGAAUACAAACAGAAAGGAGGCAGUGGAAUAUUUCUGAGUCUACAAGUGGUAAAGAUUAUUAUUUUCUUUGUGCAAUAGCAGACAUAAAAAGUUGUAAUACAAAUCAAAUUUCUUGGUGUUUCUUUCUUGAAUGACACUGUUAAAAAUAUGGGAUUAUUUGUUUUUUUCUGCACUUUAUAUUUAGAAAUACAUUGCAUGAAAAAUGAAAAGGUAAUUCAGAAACAAAAAUAACUAGGAAUAUUUUACAUAAAAGACUGUUCCAUCAGCUGUGUAUUGUAAUUCUCAGCUACUGAUAUGGAUUGUGGCAAGAAGGUAAAUACCAAAAGGCAAGUCAAAAGAAGGUAUUUACUGCUUAUAGAAUUACUUUUAUUAAAUUGUGCUCUGUAGGGAUUAUCACUAUAUACUGAGGUAAAAUACAAGAACAUUAUUGGACAUACCCUAUCUGGUCUUAGUGCAAUAAUCAUUGUACUUGUCCUGACAAAUUGCUGGCUUUAUAUUAUAGACACAGUGCUUUAAGUAAUUGAUUAGGUUUCCAUGUUUUAGUGAAUCUGAUAGAAUACUUAGAGCCAGACUGUGACUCAGCUAUAGCAAUCAUAUAGAUCUUGCAAAGUAUAUUUUAGCAUCAUUCCUAUUUGGAUUUUAUGUUCUUUGUCUUUUCUUUUACUCUGCUUCUAUUUAUGCUAUUUAAAUGUGUUUUAUGUAAUUUUGCAAGCCACAUUCAAUCCUUUCUAAAAAAACAUUGAAUAUAAAUAGGUAGGUAAUAGGAAGUAAGUUGCCAAGGUAAUUUUCAGAGAAGUGCUGAUAUUCUUUUUGGUUUUCUCCUUCAAAUAACUGAUAAAUAACAUAAUAACAUCACUCCUAGCUUACCACUUCAUAAAUCUCACAAUUUAAAGCAAAACUCUUAGGCAUAUCAGUUGCUUAGAACUCUAUAUCACAUACACACACAGAAAAAAAGGAAAUAAUUUUUAUUGCAACUGAUUCACUAAUUUUAAACUAAGCCAAUGAUUUAAAGACAAAUUCUCUCCUAAAUAUCAAAAGAAGUUAUACUUAUGGUCUAUAUUUGGGCCAUCAGUCACAUCAAUUUUAUUUGCUUGGUAAAGAUGUUUGGAAGUAGUUACAUUCAAAAAAGCUAUGUAAGUAGAAGUACAAAAAAGACAUUUUUUAUGUAUGCAAAAUCCCAAAUUAUUCAUUAAACUACCUAGGCAUUUGUUAAGCACUGACCAUGUGUUAAGUACUAUUCUCAGCAGUGUGGAUGUAGCAAUGAAUAAAAUAGGACACUUUCCUUGUGAUAUCUUUGAGAAGACCUGUAUUAUAGUAGAUGGUUCUCCAAGAGUUGAGAAACACAUGGAAUAAAUUUAUAGUAACUUUGAUAGGGGACAGACAGAUGUAAGUGGUGGGAACAUUAAGGGAAUGAUUCUAUAAAAUAGACCCACUGUGUUGACUCCCACCUGCUUUCCUUUCCAGGAAGCAAUUUACCUCCGACACUAGCUGACUUAAAUGGACAGGAUAUGUCACGUUCCCCAGCAAAUACCUGUUACCUGCAGGAGAAAUGCAGCCUUCAAAGAAUUCCCAUGAAAGGAACACAAGUACCCUGAAGGAGAGAAUUUUGUGACCCUCUCACAGACUAGAUCCUGAAACUUAGGGAAAUAAAGGUAAUUAUCCCUAAACAUGAUGUGUGUAAAAACAAAUUCCCCAAUUAGAACUCAUCAGUAUGAGCCAGAAUGACCUAGAGUUGUCAUGCACAGUGGGGACUUGAAUGAAAGUCUGCUAUCAUCUGCCGUCAUCAAAAGUCAAGAAGUGGACCUGUGUGGACUCUCUGGAAACUUCCCUGGGAUUCCCAAUUAAACUGGAGGGCAGGAGAGACAUGGUGUCCCUUUUCUGUCUGAGAAUAUCUACUCUCUCCUUUAAGAAUGUCCCCUUUCCCCCUUUCCCAUCCCUUCUAAUAAAUUUAUGAUGGUUCCUCUGAGUGACA
rnacentral:lncRNA from 1 species